rnacentral:lncRNA from 1 species
ACUCUACAAGUUCGACAUGAUGAUUAGAAAAUAUUGAAUAAUAUUAAAUAAUAAAAUAAAAUUAAAAACCUUGUUUAUCUCUCUAGAUGCAGUAGUUCAAUAAUUACAUGUCAAGUAUACCUUCCUUCGUAUUUAAAAAGCAUAUAAUUGAGAAAAAUUGGGUGCAAUCUACGAAAUUCAACGUUUGAAGGAUCCUAAAGGUAAAAUCCACGAACUUUAGGGUGUAAAAAGAACAAAAUGCUAUUAUUGACGGUAACAGGUGCCUUUGCAUGGGCUUAGAGGUCACACACAAUGGAGAGGUGGGUAAGUAUUUUUUUGGUAAUAAUUUCACCUCCAUGUGAGUAUUAAUUUCAGUCAAACUACACUUACAUAAAAUAAAUGUACAGAAUCGAUACAGAAUACACCCAUAUAGAAAUGAGUGAUUAUUUUUCGUAAUCUUUUAAUUUACAGGGUCCGUCCCCAUGUAGUGUCUGUAAGCCUUCUGCAUUUUAUUUUUUGUACAAUCGGCAUUUUUCUAUUAAUUUUCGCGUAAAACAUUACUCUGUACGCACUGAUUAAUUGAAAAGCAAAUCGAGAGGCCUACUAUAAUAUUCAAUCUGUACAACGAAUCCCGUUGACUUGCUGGGAUUAAUUGUGAGAUAACUGCAGAAUCUACUACCCUCUUCUCUGUAAUCUAAGAUUAUUUGCAAUUGUAUAUGUUUUUUUCUUGGAUCAAAACCAGCUCAGGAACAGGGAGGAAGUUACCAUUUUUGUUCUGCAAUCUGUAAGUUACCAUAUGAUUCUUGAUGUAUUUAUGCAUUAUUAGAUACGUACACACACAAUAAUUCACUCUUGUGAUAAUCAUUUCAGAUUUAAUAGUUGUUUUGUAAAAUAAAAUGCCAGCUAUUAGGGUUUGUAUUCUUGAUUUGCCAGCCAUUCAUUUCAUUCAUAUCUGUAGAUCCAACUGAACCAUAUUGACUAUUGGGAUUGGUCAAUCAUUCUCAAAUUUUUUAGCGUUGGCCUUAUUCUGCAAAUCGUUUUUGCUAAUUCAGAUUAAUUUUUUUCGUUCUCAAUAAGGGAGCCAAGAAAAUGCCUCUAGGGGAGCUCUUUCUUUCACCAUUCAUUGAAGUACUGUUUAUGCAAUUAACUUCACGUCCGGUGUUGGCCUUCACCCACUGGGAGAGAAUUGAAACCCACCGCAGGAAAUGGAAUAAAAAUCUGUCUAUUAUUGAGGAUGUGCUCGAUGAUGCUGAAGACAAGCAAUUGAUUGACCAAGCUGUAAAAGUAUGGCUGGAGGGCCUCAGGGACUUGUUUUAUGACUUGGAAGAUAUAUUGGAUGAGAUUACCACUCAAGCCCUGAUUCUAAAAUUGGAAGGAGUUCAGGAAAGAACAAGCCUGUUAUGGAAAUUCAUCCCCACAUGCACCAGUUUAUUGCCUGGUUCGAUUGCAUCCGAUUAUGGGAUGAUGUCCAAGAUAAAAGAAAUCUCAAACAGAUUUGAUGAUAUAGUGAAGCAAAGGACUGGUUUGAAGUUGAUAAAGAAUUUGGGGGGGCAUUCUAACCUAUGGACGGCAACAAGAUUGCCUAGCACUUCCUUAGACGAGCCCGAAAUUUAUGGAAGAGACAAGGAUAAAGAAGCUGUAAGUAAAUUGCUGAUUGGCGAAGGGGUGUGUCAUGAUGAUGUUUGCUACAUUCCCAUCGUUGGGAUGGGUGGGAUUGGCAAAACGACUCUUGCCCGACUCGUCUAUAACGAUAGAGAAGUUAAAGCAAGCUUUCAUGUGAGGACUUGGGUUUCUGUAUCUGGAGAAUUUGAUGUGUUUACUAUAACCAACAAAAUUUACAGGUCAGUGACGGAUGAUUAUGGCAAAUUUGAGGACUUGAAUAUGCUUCAAGUCAGUCUGCAGCAGAAGUUGUCGAAGAGCAAGUUCCUUAUUGUUCUCGAUGAUGUUUGGAAUGAGGACUAUGAAAAGUGGAACGUCCUAUGCCGUCCUUUCCACAUGGGGCAACCUGGAAGCCGAGUUAUCAUUACAACUCGUCUUGAUCAUGUUGCAUCAAAGGUGGGGUCUGUUCCAGCUUACCAUAUGAAUUUGUUGACUGAUGGUGAUUGCUUAUCUCUUUUAGCUCAUCAUUCUAGAAGAUCAAUCUGUGAUGAUCCAGAUUUAAGAGAAAUUGGUAUGGCAAUAGCGAAGAAGUGUGAAGGCUUGCCUAUAGCAGCAAAGGCACUUGGUGGCCUCCUACGUUCUAAGGAAAGAAAGGAAGAGUGGGUAGAUGUGUUGAAGAGCAAGUUAUGGGAUUUACCAGAACAAAAUAACAUUCUUCCUGUUUUGAGAUUAAGCUAUCAUCAUCUGCCUUCACAUUUGAAGCAUUUGUUUGCUUAUUGCUCCAUAUUUCCUAAGGGCUAUGAGUUUGACAAGAAUGAGCUGGUAUUAUUGUGGAUUGGAGAAGGUUUUCUGCAACGGGCAAGAGGGCACAAAAUGAUGGAAGAGUUAGGCAUUGAGUGUUUUAAUGAACUAUUUUCAAGAUCCUUUUUCCAACGACUAAGUUGCACUGAUUCACAUUUUGUGAUGCCUGGCUUUAUGAAUGACUUGUCUCAACUUGUUGCUGGAGGAAUGUGCUAUAGGCUAGAUGAGAAAGUAGAUACUAAUCAGGAGAAUAGAAUACCAGAAAAAACUCGUCAUGCUUCAUUCCUUCGUCAUGAAUUUGAAGUUUUCACAAAAUUCAGGGCAGUCAAACGAGUUCAAGGUUUGAGAACUUUCGUACCGAUGCCUGUCCAAAAUUCUCGCGUUUGGCCUCCUUUCUACUUAUCAAACAAGAUCUUACUUGAAUUGCUUCCUGAGUUGCAUCGCUUAAGAGUGCUAUCCCUGAGCGGCUAUUCCAUCACUGAGCUUCCAAGCAUCAUCUGCAAGUUGAUACAUUUACGGUACCUCAAUUUAUCCGGUACCUCUAUUGUUUCAUUGCCCGACUCUAUAGGUGAUCUCUACAACUUGCACACUUUAUCUUUAAGUAAUUGUCGCUUUAUCCGUCGGUUGCCCCCGGAAGUAGGAAAUUUAUCCUACCUACGCCAUCUUGACAUCUCUAACACAGAUCAACUGAGGGAAUUGCCGGUUGAAAUCGGUAAUUUGAAAAGCCUGAGGACGCUACCAAAACUUGUUGUCAGCAAAAUUGGUGGCUUGGGACUGAGGGAAUUGAGGAAUCUUGAGCAUUUGCAGGGGACCCUUGCUAUUUCAGAAUUGCAAAAUGUGACGGACAUCGAGGAUGCAAAGGAGGCAUGUUUAAGGCAUAAGCAAGAACUUGAUGAAUUACAACUGGCAUGGGGGAAAGAUAUUGACGUUUCUAUCGAUAGGAGUUUCGAAAAAGAAGUGCUAGACAUGCUACAGCCUCAUGAAAGCUUGAAAAAUCUCAAGAUUGAAUUCUAUAGAGGUAAAAACUUCCCAAGGUGGGUAGGGGAUAUAUUAUUUUGCAAAUUAUUGAGCAUAAGCCUUGGCAGCUGUAGUGAAUGUACAUCUUUACCCCCAUUUGGGCAACUGCCAAUGCUCAAGCACCUGCGCAUAGAAGGCAUGCGUAAAGUCAAACACAUUGGUGUUGAGUUUUGCGGUGCUGUGGCUGUCCCAUUUCAACGACUCGAGAGUCUAAGAUUUUACGACAUGCCAGAAUGGGAAACAUGGUCCCGUUCUGCCAAUGGUGAGGAAUCCGAGAACCAGUUCCCUCAUCUUACUCAGCUUACAAUAUUCAAAUGCCCCGAGUUAACUAAUGUUUCUCCAUUGAAGCUUCCCAUUCUUCGUGAGUUGGAUCUUCAGGAAUGCAAUAAUGUAGUGUUACGAAGUUUCAGUAAUCUUAACAAGUUAACCUGCUUGAAAGUUGAGUCUGUUACAGGGCUGUCUCAUCUACCGGGGGAACUUUUGCACUCCACUGAAUCGCUUGAAGUUUUGGAGUGUUGUAAUUGCAGGGAAAUGCUUUCACUGUGGAAAAGGGGAGAUACAGUAGAACAUCUUGUCCGUCUAAGACGCCUCAUCGUUGCUGACUGUUUGGAACUUGUAUCCCUUUGUGAAGAGGAGCAACAGAUGCCAUGCAAUCUUGAAGUUUUGGAGAUAUUUAGCUGUGCAAGUCUAAUGUCCAUUCCUAAUAUGAGCAACCUCAGAAUCUUGAGAGAGUUUAUCAUCAAGAAUUGCCAAAGACUUGUCAGCUUUCCAGAAAAUGGCGUCCCUCCCAAGCUUCGACGCCUUGAGAUAUUUGGUUGCAAUGCCUUUGAAUCCCUGCCCAGUAGCUUCUCAAACCUUGAAAGGCUUGAGAUUAAGGAAUGCUCGUCUCUGAGGACAUGUUUCGAUGGUAACUUCCCUAUCACCCUUCAGAAACUUUCAAUCAAAACAUGCAAUCAACUUUCAGAGGUGAUGCUUCCACCGAACGGUGAAAUUUCACUGGAAGAGCUUACUAUAUCCAAGUGGCUGAAUUCCGGCUCUAUACUUCAGCAUGUCAACAGCUUUUCACAAGUUUUUAAACUGUAUCUAUAUUGUAAUGGUCUAGACAACUUCCCGGAUCAAGGGUUGCCACCAAACUUGAGAACGCUUUCCAUUGAGCAUUGUUCAAAUCUCAAGUCCUUGCCAAUGCAGAUUCGAAACCUCACAUCCCUCGUAUCACUUGAGAUACGUACUUGUCGCAAGCUUCAGAACUUUCCAAGAUGUGAUUUUCCCCCAAAUUUAUCUUCACUAAGUAUCUGGGAUUCUAGGAAACUCAAGCCUCUAGUAUGGUGGGGUCUACACAGACUAACCUCUCUUCGAGAAUUUUCUAUCUGUGGCGGAUUUCAAGAACUGGAGUUUCUUGGUGAUGACGACGGUCUCUUUCCUCAUUCUCUAAAAAAGUUUUCUAUUGCAAGAUUUCCAAAACUUACUUCGCUCUCUAAGGUUCUUGAAAAUCUCUCUCUGCAACACCUAUCGAUCAUGAAUUGUGCCAGCCUUAAUGAUUUGCCCAGUGAAAACCUGCUUGAAAAGCUUUGGCAUCUAGAAAUAAGCAACUGUCCUCCUCUAAAACAACGGUGUCUCAAAGAUGAAGGGGAUUAUUGGAACAAGAUAGCUGGAAUUCCUUGUGUGGAGUUAGAUGGCACUUACAUUUACAGACAGAGUUCGGGUUAAGUUGCAGAAACUUUUCCUCGUUUCAGGGCACCAGAGACCAUAUCUUUAUGUAAUCAGGUAAAAAAAUUUCCAACAAUGAUUUUUUCAUUAUAAUCCAUUGAAAACCUGUCGUUGACAUGAUUCAAGCAGAAUUAACAAGCAUAUUGCCCAAAAAAUGAAGAACUUAAGUCCUGCUGUCCCUUUUAAUUUACCUUCUGUUUAUGUGCAGUUAACCAGCAUUGUCUACAACUUUUUAUUUAUGGUAGACAAGUUCCCUGGACAAUACAAAAAGAAAACAUCAAUUUCGAUCAAGGGUGAUUGAACUUUCAAGCUGGUGACACACAACUCUUUUGAUUGUAAGCAUUAUCUUGUCACUGAUGCUAGCUCUCAACACACUACCACAUCAAGAAGUAUGAAAGACUGUAGAAAGUUUUGAGUUUCUAAAAUGUAUUGAUGGUGAUUUCCUAUAUUUGCAGAGUACUUUCAAAUUUUUAUUCUGUACUUUCAAAGAAGUGCUCAUCCAAUUGUUGUACGGUAAAAGUGGUCACUGCGGGUUGUGGAACAAAUUUUCUCCAUGAAUUGCAAUGUGUGGUAAGUUGAAUUUGCUGAGCUAAUUGAAGAGAUUUCCUAAUGACUACAAUCUGUUCCAAGAUUGCAAAAAAUGUAGCCUUAAUGUCAAGAACCUGCCCUUCAGUUUCUUCUAUUAGGAGAAAAGAGGCCCCCGUUUUUACUUCUACAUAUUGAAGUUUGAUUUCAGGCUUAGAUAACACUUUAUCUUUAGCUCUGUGACAUGUUUGGCCCGGCUUACUAAACUGUUUUGUUUUUGUUUUUUUAUUUUUCGCAGCACGCAUGCAUUACUGCCCAAAUAAGAACAUAAAAAAUGUACUAAGCAGGGCCUAGACGUGUUGUGAUCGACCUAUCAAUGAACUAAUUAAAAGUUCACAUGAAGUGUGUUAGUUCAAAGGAGAAUGCUCCGUUGCCAAAUUGCAAGAAAAGAACUUUUAUCUUAAAGCAGCCUCAGGAUACAAUGAAUUAGACGAAAACAAAUAGAAAGAUGGAGGUUUUCAAGCUCAACUCCUUUAACAAAUACUUAUCAACACUUCUGCCUUCAUCGUUGACAUAGAUAUGGUUAAAACGAGUAAGAACACAAGAAAAUAAAAAUGAAUCUUUACGAAAGUUCUGCGUUUUUAUUCACGUGGCUUCUGGAUUCCAGUCCAGCGUGCAUAAUCCACCCACCUGCAAAAGAUAGAAAGUAUAAUCUACGUGGCUUCUGGAUUCCAGUCCAGCGUGCAUAAUCCACCCACCUGCAAAAGAUAGAAAGUAUAAUCUGAGAAGAAAACUAAAAGCCAAAAAAAUUUUGAGAAAAAGAAAAUCUAAACAAUUAAUGAGUUAAAGCACAAAUUGACAAAAUGACAUGUUUAUAUGAAACAGGAAACGAGAAAUGGAAAACUUCCAUCAAUGAACCCAGAAAAGUAUUGCCAGUGCGAACAGCAAAACAGAUUGCACUAAGUAUGAGCUAAUUAUUGUGUAGCAAGGGUUCUAAAAUUCGUUGUUCAAUAACUCCAGCAAGGAUUUGGUACCUAUUGAAAGGAAAUCAGAUAAAUAAACAUGUAAUGAAUUGCAGCAGCAUAGAAUAUGGCCGUAAUAUAGAUAUAUUUUCCCGAAUGUUCUCUUCAUGAUACAGAAUGUCAAAAGGGUACCUAAGGUUGCUCGAAACAGCCAUGUAGACACCAUAUGCAACGCUGGUUGAUAAUACUGGUACAUCCUCGGCUUCACCAGCAAAAGACUUGUCAAUAGCCUUUCGUGCGUUAAUUAACAGAUUGGUUACACCUGUGCCUACCUGCACAUAAAAUGAUGCGAGGAAAAAAAUCCUUAGAGAUGCCACAAAAUCAAGAAACUGUCAGGAAAUAAGCUCAAGUUAUAACAUGAUAAUGUUGGUUAAUGCAAGAAGAGACCAAUGCAUUUACUUGUCCUUGAAGAGGAAGUUGCAAUUGCUUUUAUUACUAUUACUCCAGAAGUAUCUUAUUUCAAAACCAUGAGUUAGCUAUUAUAGCAAAUAAUACAUACCUUAAAUGAAUUAAUGUGACAACCUGGGAUGAAUGUAUGUUGAUUCAUAUCUUUAUCAAGCUAUUUCAGGGAAAUUAAAGAGGGUGUGGAAGGAAAUAAUGCAAAGAAAUAAUUUCCUAAAGUUGGGAUUAUUGAAUGAAUACAUUGUGUAAAAGAUCAAACUGUCAGAUAAGAAGAUAUGAAAUGAAUUUUCAUAUUCGUAUCAUCGUUUCACGACACGCUGUAAUGUGCAAGCCAGAUUCAUUACUUCUAUCAAUAGCUUCUCCACUGAGGUCCCAAGAGCCAAUUUCACUUGCCCUUUUAUAUUUUGAGUUGCUUUCCCCCAUGAAAAUUAAAAUCUCUAAUAAUGACGCUAUUAUUUUGUUUAGAGAUUGUCUGAAACAUCUUAUCAAUGCCUUCAAUACGGUUGUUUUGUUGGCUUUUCAAAUCAUAUUUUUGGAUUAUUGUGCUAAUAAUACUAAUUGAUAUUUUUUGUAAAUAAGAUUGACUGAAUUGUGAAGGGAAAAGGAAAGACGUGUUCUUGUCAGUUAAAGAUCUCUAAGUUAACUUUUCAAUUGGUACUUCAAAGAGGCACAACUGUCUUUUAUAAUGCGGGCUCAACAAACCAUUCUUCCAAAUCCCAUCAAUGCGGGACCUCGGUAAAAAGGAUUGACUCCUUUUUGGAGAUUGUCAAAUGAAUUGUAUAUGUUUCAAGUAUACGAAAAAAACACUUGAGCAGCUAAUUUGGUGUAAAAGACAUGUAAAAAGGGCAGUGUACGAGCAUAGUUCAGAGGUGUAAAGGAUAGAAGUGAGGUUAUCUCACGCCUUGUUGGCAGCCAUAGUGUGGAGAUUCGAUUUCUGUGAUAUGAAAUUGAACUCCUUGUAAGCGCAGUGUACAUGUAACUCUUAUUCUCUGACCUGAUGUGGCACAUCUUGCGAUUUACCUCUCUCACAAAGUUCUAGGAGCGAAGCCGUGGGAACCCUCAAGGUUGGGGUUCAACCUUUUUUAAGAAAUAAGGGAUUCUUAAAAAAAAAAGCAUUUUUUUAGUGUAAAAGAAAUAAAGUUGACAUAUUUGUGGUCUGUUUUAGCCCCAUUUCUUUUUGGAAAUAAUGCUUUAUGGAAUAGUUUUUAUUUUUUAUGUAGAAUGUGAUUAAGAAAUAUAAAAAAAAUUUGGGUUUGCCUGUAAUAUUAUUUUUUUGAAAAAUGUGUGAUUGAAAAUGAGAGACAGAAAAAUAUAUUUUUAUCAUUGAGAUAUAAUGAGGUACGUGGAAGAUCCAUUAUGGUAUAGCUGUCAGUCAAUUAAGCACAUUUUAUCACCGAGAUAUGAUAAGUGCAAAAGUGUUGAGAUUUGAAAUCAAAAUUAAAGACCAGUGCUCCAUUUAAAACUAAAUUAAAUUUUAAUGACUAAAUUAAGACAUAUUGAAGUUCAGUAUCCCAAUUGAAUUUUCGGUAAAUAUUUAGUUAUCACAUAUGAAAUUUACCCAAAAUUUUUAUGGCCAUUGAGCUUUAGAUUAUUAUUUAAACAAAACUUUGUUCUUUGAUUUUAAAAUCUUGUCUAAUAUGUCUCAUAAUCAACGUAGUUUCACAGUAAUUAUAAUUAGUUCAACAAAAAAAAAAAAAAGAUUUAAAUUGAGUUUAAAUGUGUGAAUACUGAAUAUGGUUGUUUCGCGCGGGUAGUCGCUAACAAUUAAAAAAGGGAUCAGACGAUUGUGUUAGGAAGAGACCUCUUGAGACAAAGUCCCAAAAAUGAGUGUUUUAUUGGCGAUAAUUUACAAUUGGAAAUAAACAGAAUGUCUCCAAGGGGCGUAAACACACGAGUACUAAAAGAAGUGUUUAAAUUUAAGCUAAAAAAUUAAAAUUACAUAUUCUCUGCUUGAGAGUGUUUGAUUCGAGCCUUUUUCUUUAUGUCUUCUCUUCCUUUUUAUAUUCCCUUGAUGAUUUCCUGGUGACAAACCGCUUGGAAACUAUUUGAUUGCUUUAUAACUACCCACUUUUUUCUGGUGGCUAACUUGUCGUGGAACUGCCGUCUCUAACUACUGCCAUUACUCUUUGUCGUUCAACCGCCUUCAACUGGGCCCCUUGAAUCGUGGAAUGUGAUAAGAUUACUCAAUAACUGCUGUUCUGGAUAACCAUAAUAUUUUAUGUUUGCUAAGAUCUUGGGCGAUUCGAAGGUUUGGGCGAGAACGGGGUCAUCGCUCUGGGCGAUCGAAAGACAUUCCAUUCGCUCAGAUUCUAGGCGUCUUGCAAGCUUGGGUAAUGAUGUUACUGUGUUCGUGGGCUUCCACCAUUCAUCACUAAUCCUGUUUGGACCUUUAUCCUGGACUCCCCAAUUGGGCUUCACUCUUUGGGCUAUUUGAUUUGGGCUGCACUUUUAAUGUGUCAACAAUUACCCUAAUAUGGCAGAAUUAAUACCAAUUAUUAAUCUUUGCCAUAUUCACUUUGUAUUUUCCAGCAACAUUUGAAAUUCCCAAGAAUUUCAAUCAUUAUUUCCUUCUAUAACCUGAAAAGGUGCAACGUUACAAACCCUUAUAAGCCCAAAAGACACGCCAUUUCAUCGCACCACUAAACCACGUCUCUAUAUUUCGCGCUUCCUCCUCACUAUUUUAUUGUUCAUCUUCUUGCUUUUCUGCUACGUUUUUCAGGCAAAUCUUAACAAAACUGUACUUUGCACCCAAUGACGACUUCACAAAAUCAAUCUGAUGAUUCUUUUAGUUUCGAAGAUUUUCAGAAAAUCCUUACUAGGCCGUAUGUAAAUCCAAACUUCCUUGCACAAGCUAAUGCUGACCUUAAUGAAUUCUAUCUGGGUCCAUCGUUCAAUAAUGUCGAAGUCGUUGGACAAGUGGCGGUGGACCAUCUGUUCCCUUGCACUCAAGACCCUCCAUUCCUGAACUCUCUGCCAUUGAGGCCGAUUUGCGAAAAAUGUAUUCGCACUUGGCCCAAAGCUGAUGCUAUUUUUCGUAGAUGGCAUGCACGUCUUGUGAAUCAUAGCCCUACCAAGGCGAUUUUUAAUCAUGCUAGGAUUUCAGACUUAUUAGAAAUCGCUCUUCAACCCCCAAUUUUCGACCCAGUGUUUUUUCCGGUUGCUUUGAGUUUUUGGUCUUCUAAAUAUAAUACCUUCGUUUUCCUUCUUGGUCCCAUAUCUAUUACUUUAAGGAACGUUGGAGCCCUAGUAAAUCUUCCGCCUUUGGGCGAUACCAUCUUUCCUGGUAUCUUGAUUUCCAGUGUUGGCUCGAAAUUUGACAAGAAACUUACUGAGUCCUACUCAAGCAUGUAAGGCUUUUAUAAUCAUUCAAGCGCUGAACCUUCCCAUACUGAGCGUGUGGCCUUUCUUCAAAUUUGGCUCUGUAAAUAUGUUCUUUGUGUGUCAAGUAUGAAAUUUUCUAUGAGCUACUUACCCAUAGCGCAUGGUAGGCCUUUGAACUUAUGUUCCUUCUUUUUACCUGUCAUUUAUAGAGGCAUGGCUUCCCUUCAAUCUCAACUGAAGAAUGGUGCAUCUUCCACUGGCAGUGGGUCCCUUUGGUUUACUUAACUGUGGUUGAGAGCAUACUUUCCACCACUUGGUGCUCCAUCAAUUUCCCUUCAUUCUGCUAGCUACUAUGGGCUAGCCAUUGACCCAUUGAACCCUGUAAAUAUGUCCAGUAAGGACAUUUUUUCAUUCUUUUAUACCUUAAAUUCGAUUCCUUCCUUCUUUCCUUUUCCUGCUCACUUGACUCCAGAUUAAGUGCAACCUCCAUCCACCCUGGACAGUGUAAGUGUCUCUCUGCUUGUUUGGGUUCAGUUUUUGAUUGGGAGGGAAUUGUUCCACGAUAUUUUAACUGGAACCAAUGCCAAGGCUGGGGUUGAAAUAUAUGCUCCCUAAUUUUUUGCUCGCCUUGGCCAAACUUGGCCUGUUCCUCCUUGCUACUCCAAAAAUUUGACAGAUCGUUUUCACACUAUUAAUAAGGCAGAAGCACAAGCUGUAGAUGCUCGCAACAUUCUUUUGACAAGCAAAUUUUCAUUAGUCCCUUUCAAUUCUAGCUGUGCCGUCCAUCAUCUUUUUGAACAGCUCUGGCUAUCAGUAAAACGCAGAUUGUUUGCAACUGAUGCUAAUCGUACCUUCCAUUUACUGGAUCAGCCAGACACUUCCUCUACUUCUCCUAUUUUGGUCACCCCCGUGUCCAUUAGGAAUCCUUCCUCCCCUGCUCACGCUAAACAUCCUAUCCGUCCAUCUGCUUCUCCACCUGCCAAGGCUACUGCAGCUAAAGGUAUCUUAAUCCGCAAACAGCCAGUUUCAACAUCUCCCAUUUUGCGGGAUGAUAAUGAUGAUGAUAUCGCUCCUCUCAUCCUUAGGAGAAAGAUAAUUGAAUUUGUUUAUUCACAAACAUACUUUUCUAUGUACUAAUGGUUUACCUGAAUUUCUCAGAAAAGUUCAGCCUCUCCUUCAAAGGCUUUGGUUUUGACAACUCCUGCUUCAUCAUCUUCUGCUGAACUGUUUCGUCCAAAUCAGCUGAUGAAAGGACUAUGCUUAAAGAGAAACCCUUAGUCCCGGAAUUUUCAUCACAACCAGUAGAAGGGCCACCUUCUUCCCAAGGCGCCGACUCCCCAAAUGUCGAACCAGAAGGUAAUAUAUAUUUUGAUGUUUUACCUUUGCUUGUGCUACUGGUUUCUGAUUCGUUUUUUUUGAAUUAUGCAGAGGCUCCCAUGGGCUUGCCUGUUGUGGCAGAGUCUUCUCGCCCAGAUAAGGGGAAGUCCCCACAGGUGGUGGAGUCAACUGGUGAUAUGCCUGAACUUCCCAAAAUUGCUGAUGAGGUAACCUUUUGCUUCACUUUCAUUUUCGCUUCGUUUAUUGUAGUGAAAGUCCUCAAUGUUGGCAUUUUUCUUUGCAGGGUGCUGAUGACAUUGUGCGUUCCAUCCAAAACUUGUUCACUUCCUGGGGACAAGUCAAGACGUCUCACCCUACUUCAACCAGUCAUCCUUCUGCUUCAUUUUCUACUUUUUCGGAGGAAAAUAUGAAGUCUCUCAAGUAGUCGGUACUUGAGUAUGUGUCUUUUAUGGACAUAGAUAUCGGCCAGGCUAGUGCUACUAAACAUAAGGAUAAGUUUGAGCUAUUGAGUGCGAAAUUGGCGCAAGCACUUACACUUCCGUCGCUCAAUAUUUCUGCUGACUUUAAAGCGACAUUGAAAGUUGUCCACCCUGACAUCCUCUCCUUGCUAGCUAAAAAUGUUGAACUGAAGGCCAGGAGUACUCAAUAUCUUCGUGCUGCAUCUGAAAGAGAGUCUUUGCUUCUAGAGAUUAACAAAGCCGAGGAUGAAUUGAAAGAAAUCUCUUCCGACGUUAUGAUCGAAGACUCUUUGAUGAUAAGCUUGGCUGCAGAGAUGAAGGAGCUUCAAGCAAAGAUGAACGACUGUAGGGCGAGAAUGGCUGCUAAAAAGCGUAAUACUUCCCAAGGAAUUGAACGAACCAAGUCUUUGGUUGAGCAGAAUAAAAAGCUGGAGGUUGAUGACGAUUUUGAAACUGAAUUAAAUGUCGCUUCUUCUCAACAGAGCAAAGAUUGGGGAAGACUUAGGGAAAAAAUACGUUCGGCUUGGGGUGAAUUGUAAUUAAGACAUCCAAUGCCUUAACUUUCCUUUUGUAAUUUGGCACUAAUUGCCAUUGCUAAUUUUGAAUGUAACAGCAGCUAUCGUCAUUAAUGAACGACUAUUUUGUCUAUUUGAGUAUUAAUUGACGUUGUCCUUAAUCGUCAACCCCCCAAGCAUUUAAUUGCUUUACGCUAAGAUUCAUGUACAUUCUUUCUUGGUAUUCCCGUCUCUUUUCCCAAGAUUUUGGGUCACUUGAUUUCAGUUAUUAGGCACGAAUGUGGCCGUUCAUAUUCUAUCUUUUCACCUUCACGGCUCUAUAAAUGCGUGUGUAUUUUGCACUUAUCAUUUUCAUUUCCAUUCUUUUAUUCAAGAACUAAUUUGCUGCCAUCAUUUAGUAUCUCAACAAUUGAUCCAAAAUUUUCGUCUUCCAUAGAAAUGGAUCAUUUGAUCCGCCCUUUUUGCUAUCUAUCUUUAUGUCACCUUUGGUAUGGGAGAUAUAGGAAAUAUUCUUUGGCCAUCAAAGGUCUUCCCAUUGUCUCCAUGUUCUUUAUAAGGAUUUCAAUGAUGGAAGGCGAUUUUUGAGGAUGCCUUUCAAACCACUUCGCUUGCUCAGAGUGCUUCUCAAUCUCUUUACUCGUUAUUGCAGCAAUGCGAUUAGGCAGACGAUUUGAGAGUACUUUUCUUCCUUUUUGCUUGUUGAGAGUGUUUCUCGACCUCUUUGCCUAUCCUUACAGCAGUGGGAUCAGGACGACGAUCAAGGCCGGUUCACCUUCUUACUUGGCGAUCGACCGAGAAAUUAGUUUGCUCUCAAUUGUAGCUCAUAGAGCAUUUAAUAUUUUGUAUCUCACAAUUUGUAAUGAAUAUUUGAUAACAAAGGAAUUUAUUUGAACGUAUUUCGUUCUUACCUUAUUUAUCUACGAUCGUUCAAUGCAAUUAUAUUGAUUACGCUUUUAUUUGUUCACUUUCCCAUAAGGAAGGAACAUACUUUUUUAAAUAUUUGUCAUUAAUGAACCUAUGUGCUUGGUGCCAUCUAAAUCUUCUAAAUGAUAGGCUCCAUUAGGCAACACACUAUUUACUUUAUAUGGCCCUUCCCAAUUGGGUGAUCACUUGCCAUACUUUGGAUCCUUGCUAUCCAAAGGGAGUAUUAUUUUCCAAACCAAUUCGCACAGGCUAAAUGACUUGACAAUAACUUUUUUGUUAUAAAACUUAGUCAUCCUUUGUUUUUGAACUUGCAAUCUAUCUAGGACGUCCAACUUUAAUUCGUCCAACUCCAGUAAAUUUUGAAUUAGUGAUUCGGUAUACUCACCAUCACUUAACUUCUGUUGCAAACACACUCUGAUUGAUUGCACAUUGAUUUUCAUAGGCAAAACGGCUUCCUGUCCAUAAGUAAGUUGAAAAGGAGUAACUUUGGUACUUGAUCGAGGCGACGUCCUAUAAGCCCAUAAAGCAUUGUUUAGACAUUCGUGCCAAUUUUUGACAUUUUCAUCUAUCAUUUUCCUUAUGAUAUUUUUUAGAAUCUUAUUAGAAGAUUAUGUUUGUCCGUUGGAUUGAGCGUAAUAUGGUGUGGAGUUCACUAACUUAACUCCAAACUCGCUCAAGAAUUUUUUCACUUGAUCUCCAUUCAAAGAAGUUCCGUGAUCUACCAUCAAAGUUUGUAGAAUCCCAAAUCUAUAAAUAAUAUGAUCACGGAUAAAUUUUAUGACACUCUUUUGGGUGAUCUCCUUUAAAGGUAUUGCUUCUACCAAUUUAGUGAAAAAAUCAGUUGCAACUAUAACAAAGGUUUGUUGCUUGGACGACGUGGGAUAAAUCUUCCCUAUUAGGUCUAUCACCCAACCCUUGAACGGCCAGGGUUUGCUAAUGGGUGACAUCUCUCUUGCUGGCGCCCUUUGUAUUGGACCAUACUUUUGGCACGCUAGACAACUCUUCGCAUAUUGAACACAUGAUUCUCCCAUCUUGGGUCAAAAAUAUCCAUUCCUAAUAAUUAACCAUCUCAUCUUUUGGCCAACUUGAUGAGCUCCACAUAUCCCUUCAUGCACUUCAGCCAUGAUUGUUCUGGCUUCUUGCAAACUUACACAUUUUAGUAAUAUACCAUCAGAGCGUUCUUAAACAACUCUUCAUCUAUCAAUGUAUAGUUUAGUAAAUGCAACUUCAUUUUUCUACUACCUCCUUUAUUAGGUUCUUUAAGGAACCUUUUAAUCUCUGCCCUCCAAUCUAUUGCAUCUCCAUCUUGUAUGCAAUGAAUUUCAAUCCUUCUCGCCCUUCUUUAGACUACGGACAAUAUUACUCUAUAUUCAUAAGUAAAUUUCCAAUUUAAAGCCUUUGAAUACCCUGAGGCCAUCUGGGUUAACUCAUUUGCUAUGUCAUUUUAUAUCCUAUUAACACAUUGAAGCUCUACUUGGUCGAAUUCUUCCAACAAUUCUUGGGCGAUUUCAUAUUGACUUAUAAUGGAAUCACUUUGGCACUUAAAAUCACCGAUCAAUUGGUGAAUUACCAAGUGAGAAUUGCCUCUAACAAUCACAUUCUUUUUUCCAUAUCUAUCAUUAAUUCUAAGCCCACGAUUAAGGCUUCAUAUUCGGAUUGAUUGUUGGUGCACAUCCUAUCCAAAGUGAAUGCGAACUUGUAACAAAUUCCUAAAGGAUUUAUCAAUGCUACUCCUACUCCUGCACCUUUAGAGGUUUUUGGCCCAUCGAAAUAUAAAACCCAAGGUUUUAAUUCGAAUGAAUCAAUUUCUAAUUCAAUUUCUUCAGGCAUGUCAAGGCAUGGAUGAUCGGCCAGAAAGUUAGCCAAAGUCUGAUUUUUGAUUGCUUUUUGGGGUAUGUAUUGUAUUUAGAAUUCUGAUAACGCUAAAGUCCAAAGGCCUACCCUUUGAUGUAAAAUAGGGUGAGAGAACAUAUACUUAACCAAAUUUACUUUAGAAAUCAAAUAAACGGUUACGGACCGUAAUUAAGCCCUUAAUUUCGUACAUGUGAAAUACAAUGCAAUACAUAAUUUUUCAAUGGCAGAGUAAUUACAUUCACAUUUUGUUAACCGUCUACUCAAAUAGUAAAUCGCCAUUUUUUCACCAAAUUGGCCUUCUUCCACGACCAUUUCAGCUAUUGAUUCUUGUUCAGCCGAUAUAUACACUUUCAUUGGCCAUCCUUGGAUUGGUGACACCAACACUGGUGGACUUGAUAAAUAUGUCUUUAGGCUUUCAAAAGCCUUUUGAUGCUCUUCUUUCCAGAUGAAUUCGUCCUGAUUUUUCAGUUUUAAAAGCGACGAAAAAACUUUAGUUCGCCUGCACAGUUAGAAAUAAAGCGUCUUAAAAAGUUUACUUGACCUAGAAAUCUUUGCAAUUCUUUUUAUUGAUAGGUGGUUUGGCCUCUAAAAUGGCCUUCGCUUUAUUUUUAUCAAGUUCAAUCCCCCUUUUGUGUACUAAGAAACCAAGGAAGUUUCCUACAUUAACACCAAAUGCACAUUUUAAAGGAUUCAAUUUUAGUUUAUAUUGCUUCAUUCGCUCAAAUGAACAUCUCAAUUGUUCAAAAUGAUCCUCUUCUUUAAUGGAUUUGACCACUAUAUCAUCUAUAUACACCUCAACAAACUUGCCUAUCAUAUCAUGAAAAAUCAAGUUCAGUGCCCUUUGAUAAGUCGCUUUUGCAUUUUUCAAGCCAAAAGGCAUAACUACCCAUUCAAAACAUCUCAGAGAUCCAAGACAUCUAAAGGCAGUUUUUUGUAUAUCUUCCUCAACUAUAUAAAUUUGAUUGUAUCCUGAAUACCCAUCCAUGAAGGAAUAUAUUACGUGUCUGGCAGUCGAGUCUACUAAAGAAUCUACCGCAGGCAUUGGAUAUUCAUCUUUGGGUGUGACUAUGUUUAGGUUCCUAAAAUCUAUGCACACCCUUAAUUUACCAUUCUUUUUUAAUACUGGCACGAUAUUGGACAAUCACUCGACAUAUCUGGCUGUUCUCAUAAAGCCUGCUUUUAAUAAUCGCUCUAUUUCUUUCUUAAUCUCAGGAAGUACAUUAGGAGCAAAGCGCUUAGGAGGUUGCUUAUGAGGUUUAAAAUUUGACUUGGUUGGCAAUCUAUGUUCCACGAAAUCUCUAUCUAAACCAGGCAUAUGUUCAUAUUCCCAAUCAAAACAAUCCUUAUAUUCCUUUAAUAAAGCGAUUAAUUUAUCACUAACCUCUUAAUCGAGCAUCUGACUGACGAAUGUUGGGCGAUCUUCCCUAUCUUUAGCUCUGUGACAUGUUUGGCCCAGCUUACUAAACUGUUUUCUAACGACCCUUUAUAUAUACACACACACAUAUAUAUGUUUGGCCCAGCUUACUAAACUGUUUUCUAACGACCCUUUAUAUAUAUAGCACGCAUGCAUGCAUUACUGCCAAAAUAAGAACUUAAACAAUGUAUUAAGUAGGGCCUAAAGGAGUUGCGAUCGACCUAUCAACGAAACAUUUACAUGAAGUGGGUCAGUUCAGUGUAGAAUGCUCCAUUACCAAAUUGCAAGAAAAGAACUUUUAUCUUAAAGCAGCCACAGGAUACAAUAAAUUAGACGAAAACAAAUAGAAAAAUGGAGGUUUUCAAGCUCAACUCCUUUAACAAAUACUUAUCAACACUUCUGCCUUCAUCGUUGACAUAGAUAUUGUAAAAAUGACUAAGAACACAAGAAAAUAAAAAUGAAUCUUUACGAAAGUUCUGUGUUUUUAUUCACGUGGCUUCUGGAUUCCAGUCCAGCGUGCAUAAUCCACCCACCUGCAAAAGAUAAAAGUAUAAUCUGAGAAGAAAACUAAAAGCCAAAAAAUUUUUGAGAAAAAGAAAAUCUAAACAAUUAAUGAGUUAAAGCACAAAUUGACAAAAUGUCACAUGUUCAUAUGAAACAGAAAACGAGAAAUGAAAAACUUACAUCAAUGAACCCAGAAAAGUAUUGCCAGUGCGAACAACAAAACAGAUUGCGCUAAGUAUGAGCUUAUGAUUGUGUAGCAAGGGUUCUAAAAUUCGUUGUUCAAUAACUCCAGCAAGGAUUUGGUACCUAUUGAAAGGAAAUCAGAUAAAUAAACAUGUAAUGAAUUGCAGGAGCAUAGAAUAUGGCCGUAAUAUAGAUAUAUUUUCCCGAAUUUUCUCUUCAUGAUACAGAAUGUCAAAAGGGUACCUAAGGUUGCUCGAAACAGCCAUGUAGACACCGUAUGCAACGCUGGUUGAUAAUACUGGUACAUCCUCGGCUUCACCAGCAAAAGACUUAUCAAUAGCCUUCCGUGCAUUGAUUAAAAGAUUGGUUACACCUGUGCCAACCUGCAUAUAAAAUGAUGCGAGGAAAAAAAUCCUUACAGAUGCCACAAAAUCAAGAAACUGUCAGGAAAUAAGCCCAAGUUAUAACAUGAUAUUGGUGGUUAAUGCAAGAAUAGAUCAAUGCACUUACUUGUCCUUGAAGAGGAAGUUGCAAUUGCUUUUAUUACCAUUACUCCAUAUAACAGAAGUAUCUUACUUCAAAACCAUGGGUUAGCUAUUAUAGCAUAUAAUGCAUACCUUAAAUGAAUUAAUGUGACAACCUGGGAUGAAUAUAUGUUGAUUCAUAUCUUUAACAAGCUAUUUCAGGGAAAUUAAAGAGGGCAUGGGAGGAAAUAAUGCAAAGAAAUAAUUUCCUAAAGUUGGGAUUAUUGAAUGAAUACAUUGUGUAAAAGAUCAAACUGUUAGAUAAGAAGAUAUGAAAUGAAUUUUCAUAUUCUAAUCAUCAUUUCACGACACACGGUAAUGUGCUAGCCAGAUUCAUCAAUAGCUUCUCCAAUGAGGUCCCAAGAGCCAAUUUCACCUGCUCUUUUAUAUCUUAAGUGACUAAUUCGAUGUAAAAGAAAUAAGGGAUUCUUUAAAAUAAAAAAUAAAUAAAAAUAAAAAUAAAAAAGAAGAAGAACACUUGAGCAGCUAAUUGGGUGUAAAAGAAAAAAGGGAUUCUUGAUAAAGUAAAAAGGAUUGACUCCUUUUUGGAGAUCAUCAAAUGAAUUGUGUAUGUUUGAAGUAUACAGAAAAAACACCUAAGCAGCUAAUUUGGUGUAAAAGAAAUAAGGGAUUCUUGAAAAAGUAAUUUCCCCAUAAUGGUUUUCUAAUUAUACAGAUUAUAUGCAGACCCUCUUGAUAGCAAUGCCUAUUUUUUAGGUGACCCCUUUUUGCACAAUGAAGUCGUAGAUACUCACAGCUUGGACCCCCAUGAAAUGCAUAAACCAUAGUUUCACCCAUCACACUGAUGUUCCCUCACAAAGAUUUAUGGCACUCGAAAGUGAUCAAGAACUUGUAUAUAUUUAAGUGUUGACUUACCAGAGAUGCACUAGUUCCAACUGCAAAUAGCUUGGCCCCAUUUCUCUGCAGGAAGGAUCAGAAUUCUCUUAGAUUUACUGAAUUCAUAAUCUAGAUACCAGGUUUCUAAUUCGUUGUUUUAUUAAUAAGUAGCAUACCACUAUGGCUCCUAUCCUCUGUAAAAAUGAGUAGGAUGUACCAGCCAAUGCAACCUGCAGCAUGCAUAAAAACAAUUUCAUUCAGUAGCCUGUACUAGGUUUUGCUUCCCUUCAAACAUACCUAUACGCAAGCAAACAUAAUGUAACAGUAUAUAUUAAAACAGAACCUGAAAGGCAUUAUCAGGGCAUCCAUAGAAGAACUUAUUGAGAAAUCCAGCACUAGGCGCUAUAGCCGGUCGUAGAGAAACGGUAGGGGCAGGGAGCCAAACAAGCAUGAAAUCUGCAAUAAUGGCCAUUACCUGAAAAAUAGAUUAUUAGUGUUUCCAGGUUUGAAGAACGAAGGACAUUCAGAAUUGACCAAUGAAUCCAGUGAUCUUGUGUUUUAAUUGUAAUUUUAAUUUUUUAAUUUUUUCUGGAUAUUGUACAACUAUUUACAUUUGUGUAUGGAGAAUUUCCUUCAUUUUAGUUGUAAUCAGCAUACUCUUAGGAGAUAAUUGAACCAUAAUUAAUGUAAUUGGAGGAGUUGAUUAUAGAAUGUUAAUUAUGGGAGCAACUAAAGGAGUUGAAUUAUGAGAGUUAAUUAGGUUUCCUUUAUACCUAUAGUGUAACCUUGUAAUGUUUCAUUUCAUGGAAUAAAAUUAUGUUUUUCAACAUGGUAUCAGCAAGUUCUACCUUGCUUUCAUCCUGUCCAGGAUAUUUUCUGAGCGGCUCCUUUCGAUUUGCAUUUUUCAAGAAGAUUUGGGCCAUUUAUAGGUUGAUUCAGAUUUAAAUCAAGGUGGUGUACUUUUUUUGCCGAUUCACAUUGUUUCAGCUAUUUUGCCAGCUGAUCCAACUUUAUUCAAGUUAUUGAGGCUUGCCAUUUACAGCAAGUGAAAUUGCUACAAGCUUAUGUUGUGAUGAUACAAUCAAGUAUUUCUUCCGCACCUUUAAUUGCGGCUUCUCUUCCAAGUUAUCCUUGGAGAAUUGAUUUUGGAGCCACAAACCAUACGAGUAGCCACUCUUAACUUGUACGUCUCUUACACUCCAUGUUCGGGAAGACAAAAGGUGAAAGUGGUCGGAUGGUUUGUUAUUAUCUAUUGCAGGAAAAUGGCGUAUUAUUAUCUCAAAAACUCUUUCUCUUGACUUAAGUUUUACAUGUUCCUACCCUUUCAGUUAGCAAAAAUAGCAAAUAUUUUAAUUGUGUUGCCAAAAUUUGUCCCUCUCGCAUUGAAAGGUCAUGGAUACUGGCAAGGUGAUUGAUGGACUUUAGUAUUUCGAAAGUGAACCGACUGUUUAGAUAAUCUAUCUCAUACACACUUGAGUACUUUAAUUUCUUUUCCAAUCAAGAUGUUGAGCUAUAGGAUAAAAGAUUAGGUCACCCACGUUUCUCAUACUUGAAAAGUUUAUUACAUUGUUUAAAAAUAAAGAUAUCCUUGAUUUUCAAUGCGAGACAUGUGAACUAUCCAAACACCAUCAUAUAAACUUCGCUACAAAAAUAUAUAGGAAAUCACAAAUUUUUACUUUCAUCCAUAGUGAUAUUUGGGACCUUCUCAAGUGGGCUAGAUGGUUUAUCUCAUUUAUUGAUGAUCAUACUCGUGCGUGUUGGAUGUUUCUACUCAAUGAAAAAUUUGAGACAAUGAAAGCAUUUCAAAAUUUUCAUAAGAUGGUUAAGACCCAAUUUCAAGCGAACAUUCAAACCCUUCGUACCGAUAAUGUGAGGCAGUACUAUUCAUCAAUACUAGGUUCAUAUCUAGCAGAAAAUUGCACUUUUACACCGUAGUUCGUGUGGAUACAACUCAACAAAAUGGGAUAGUUAAGGAAAAAAUAGACGUCUCCUUGCGGUAAAUAGAGCUAUAAUGUUUACCAUGAGUGAGCCAAAACAUUUUUGGAGUUAAGCGAUUCUCAUAGCAACUUACCUUACAAAUAGAUUGUCGUCAAGGACCUUAGAUCUAAAAAAUCCACUUGAUCUUCAUAAAACACAUGUCUAUCAUCUAAACUUUUUUGUUCCCUCCCGCCUAAAUCUUUGGUUGUGUCACAUUUCAUAUGCAUGAUCAUGAUAGAGGGAAAUAAGAUCCAAAAGAUUUGGUCUAAUUUUUUUUUUCGAUAUUCUUCUACUUGGAAAGGUUAUAAGUGCUAUCGUCCUCAAACAAGAAAAUCCUUUGUCUAUGAAUGUCUCAUUCUUCAAUAACUCAAUAACACUUUUUUUUUUUUUUUACUAAAACUUCUCAGUGGCAGAGUGAACAUGUUGAAGAUCAGUUUUGGUCUGUUAAGCCUAAUAUUUCUAUCCCUUCUAUAUCUCAACCUCAACCUUUAGUAGUGCCUAAUAUUGACGUUCAGCCUUAUGAGUCUCCUGCAACUCUACAUGUUAUUCCAUCCACUAGUUUUAAUUAUGGAUUUUCUCCUACUGAAAGUUCUCAACCUUCACCUCUUGAGAGUGGUCAACGUCCAUCUCCAAUGACCAUUACUCCGCAACAUCACCGAUCACCCGAACCAAGCAUAAAGAUUCUGGAAGCACGAGUAAUUCUUUAGUCCCUAAUCUUUCCAAAAAUCUUAAUUCUGAUCUUGAUAUUCUGAUUGCUCAUAGGAAAGCUGUUAGAUCUUGUAUACAAUAUAUCCUAUUUCCAAAUCUGUUUCCUACCAUAGGGCAUCUCCUUCCUUUAGCGCUUCCGCUGCUAAUGAAUCUUCUUGCGAUUUUUUUCCAAGCACUAUACAGGAAGCUCUUGCUAUUUUUAGAUGGAAACAAGUUUUUAUAAAGAAAAUGGAGCACCUGAAAACAAUGAUACUUGAGACCUUGUUGAUCAUAACCACAGAAGAGACCGAUAGGGUGUAAAUGGGUGUUUACUGUAAAACACAAGGCAGAUGGACAGUUGAAAGAUAAAAGGCAAGAUUUUCUGUUUUAAUUUCCAAAUCAAAAGGAACGUUCUUUAGUUGCAAUCUUUCAUUGAUAACAACACAUUAUAUAAUUUAUAUUUCUUGCAAGUAAACUGAAACCCAAAAAUAUUGCGAAGGCAAUCGUACCACAUCAGCAAAGACGAAAUCUAGCUCCUUGGUGAACUUUUCUCUGCGCUUUUCCAAUUCUGCAGCAGUCUGGCAUGCAGAUAGGACAUAGCAAACACAUGAAACUUUCAGAAAUUGCUUGAUAGAUAGAAAUUCAAUAAAGACCACCAAAAGAACCGUACAUAUUUUUUUAGUGAGUAACAGCUGCAAAUUUCAGUCAAGAAAAUCUUCCCCUUUUAUUUCAUAUCAAUUUUGGCUGUACUUCGUCACAAACUUACUCGUGAUGAAUUUCUAAUAUUGCAACAAUUCAUAUAAACUCCAUCCAAAUCUCUGCAUCUUUGCUAUUAACAGAAGACCAUCUUCCCAAAUUUGAAUAAACAUUUCAUGGUAAUUUCCCAAUGUAAUAAAAGCCAAUGCUAGCAAACAAUUAUUCAAGAUUUACCAAUAUUUUACCAAAACAUCCAUUUUGAAGGCAUAAUUGAUUAGUCAAGGCCUUUCAAAUUUCAAAUAUGAUCCAAAUCCACAUCAAAUAACCACAUUCUUAAGACAUGUCAUAUUCUGAUUAUUCUUAUUACUACUUUAUUAACUGUCUAAAAAAAAUUCGAAUAUUUGCUAUGGUAAUUAGUAUUUGAAUAGUAAUUCAAGACAAGGCACAAACCUUUGUAAAGAUCCCAACACCACACUCUAUAGCAACUUUAGUCAAGAAAAGAUCAUCUCCAAGUAACCUUUCCUUAAACCCUCCAAACUGGAGCAACCACCGGAACACCGCAGACUUCUCGAGCUCGAUAUACCGCUGUACUAUCGAACCCGGAAUCCUCCCGGCUUCUAUGGAGGCAGCCAAGUCCUUAGGAAUGCUAUCCAAUGAUCUGCCAGCCUCGACCAGGGCCAUGAUUGCCUCUGCCUUGUUUCUUUCCCCUGCAUCUCCCUCAUUAUCACCCCCAGCUCCACCUCCGGCCCCACCUCCUCCACUACCUGAACCGCUUCCACUUCCGCCAUCACCACCAAUUUCUCCACCGUCAGUGUUGCUGGAGAAGGUAAUAAAGGAUAUACGACGAGUGGGUUGUAGGGGGCUGAGUUUAAUUGAAUUGGCAGAGGAGAGCGCGAGACUGGUCGUAUGGGGAGUGGCAAAUGGAUAAGUGAGGGAUGACGGAGAGUGGUGGAGGUGUGAAGUUGGUGAUACGAUGAACUGGGUAGUGAAGUAUGCAAAAGUGGUAGUUGCCGCCAUGAUGAAGGCGGUGCUUUCUCUUAUUCACUCUCCUCAGUCCACGCGAGAGAGAGAGUUGCCGGUGGAUUUUUGAGUGGUGGUGAAGCGAAUGGUAGAGCUGUUCCAUUUGUCAGUUGACUUAAAAAGUAGAAGUGAUGUUUGAUUUGGGAAGUUGAGAAAAGCACAACCUUAUAUUCUAAAUUCUGAAGAUUGCCUUUUGCCGUAAAAAAAAAACAGUUUUACCAAGAAAACAGGAAAUGGUGACAAGGAUUAAAUUCAGAUGCCACGUGUCAACAUUUAGUUGGCCAUUUUUUUUUAAAAAAAAAAACCAAAUGCCCAGUCAGGUGCUCCACGCAACACCCAGAUUUAAACCUAUUUCUAUAAUCUGUCAGAGAAGUUUUAUUCAAUAUAAAAAAAUCUAUAUUGCCAGAUAUCUAGAAAACUAUAAUUCAAUAGUGAAAAUCCCUUUUAAUAAAUAAUAAAAAUUUAAAAUGGGGAACUUAUUCCUUUCCACGCCCUCCAACGACUCUCGGCGAAUCCAUCAAACCUAGAGAGUUUGGCCUCGAGAUGUUACCUGGGAGCCACUAUUUGAUUCGAUUUUUAUCUUAGGUAAAGAGACAUUGCUCUUUACAUAUAUCAAUAACAUUUGAAUUCCUUUUAUUCUUUCACUAUGUUUGUCGCACAUGACUCGAACUCCUUUUUAAAGCAUUGACCUCAUUGUACCACGACUCAAAAUUUGAUGCAAUUUUUGUCAUAGUAACAAGAGAACUUUGUUUCUUCAAUUAUCUAGUCAACUUGAUUCAAUUUUCACUCCAUUUUUGACAGAUUGGAUGAAUAGACUUGUUCGUGCUAAUUAGUUGUGCAAGAAAUGAGAUAUGAUAACGAGUUGAUGUUUCAAAGAAUAGGGCAUUUGUGCGGGAUACCUGAUGAUGUUCUCGUACAUUUUAUGGGGAGUCGUGCUUAGAUUUUGUUUUUCUCAAAUUUGGCUACAAAAGUCUUGUCGGUGCAAUUGAUGAUUAUUCGACUUCUUUGUGAGGCUCAUACUUGUUACUUUUAGUUUAAGGUCUAUGACCUGUGGUGGCCUUGCCACGACCAUGGGACCCCGAGUUGGGAGAAUCUUGCGGUGUUUGAUUUAUUUCUCCAAAAAUAUCUUUCUUUUCUUUUGUUUCCCAAUCAUAAUCUAUUUUUCAGAGAGAGUAACACUUUGGUCAAACUCCAUUUCUGAAAGAUGAAAAUGGGGACAUAAGAUUAUGAAAUGGUGAUAUGGUCAUGAUUAACUUACAAACACUUAAUUUAAAAAGAUGUUAACUUAAGAGUCAAUAAGAUAAGCAGAUAUCUAUGAUCUAAUACGAGAUGUGGAGAAACAAAGCCAUGAAUAUUAGAAUAAACAAGGUAGAGGAUGAGCAACAAUUCAACUACAAUGCAAAAUAAAAGUGUAAUAUAUAUUAAUGUAUUCAUAUGUUAUUACACAAGAUGGAUUAUUGUUUCAAUAUUAUAAUUGUCUUCGUGUUGAACUACCUGUGAUAUAAUAUGAUUAUAAGAUAUUGUCGUACACGUGCAUUGUUGUGUGAUUUAUAUCACAAAUAUAUUAUAUCAUUAACAAAUAAUAAUGUGGUUAUAAGGGUUUGGAUUAUCAUUCUCAUAAGUGCUACUAUUUAAUAAUUGAUUUAACUAUUUCUAACCUCUAUUUGAAUUAAAAUUGUUAUAUUAUAUUAUAUUUUUUAUUUGUAAAAAUAUAAAUAUAAGGAAACAAGUAAAAAAUGCACAUAACUUAUGUAGGAAAAAUGUUAGGAAUUGUAAUUUUGUCAUAGUUAUCCCCUUAAUUUCAAUCAUCAUAUUUCAAUAACAAUUAAUUAUGUAUAUCCGAUUGAAUUUAUCUAAAUUAAUUGAUUUACCUCUCUUGAGUUUAAAUUAAUCAAACUUAUACCAUAUAAUUUUUCUUGAACAAAAUGAUGUAUUGAGAAAAUUGUUGCGAAAAAAAUAAUAAAUAGUAAUAAAAUAAUUGAUUUUUUUUAAAAAAAAUGACUUAUACGCAUUUUUUAACACAUACGUUUAAUGUUCGUUUAACUAUUUUCGUUAUUCAUUUAGAUCAUUCGAUGUGUCUAUGAUAUAGUUCUUGAAAUGAGUUUCAAGAGAAUGUAGAAUAUUUAUCGAUUCGACUAUCGUAUAAUCGUCAAUGAAUUUUUAAAUUUAGCUUAUUAUCGAAAAUUUCGAAAUAUAGUUUGAAAAUGUAUAUUUUGACAUCCCGUAACAUUUGCUACGAUUAGCCGUUUCUUCACGAAGUACCAUUUUCUUGUUGUGCUUGAAACAAAAUAAUACACUGGAGUAAUUUUACCUUGUUCUGACUAUUAUAUUAACAUUUAUAUCACACUUUAUUCUGAUUUAUAUUUCUCAAACCAACUAAUACACAGUUCCCUGCUAAACUCUUGUUUUAAAACAUCAUAUAUAUAUUAUUAUUAUUUUUUAUUUUAACCUUUGAAUUUUUUGUCCAUUUUCUCUCUCACUUUUUUUUUUUUAAUCUAAUUUUCUACGAUGUAAACCACUUUUUAUAACCUAAACAAGGUCUGUUAUGGGGCAUUAUUAUAAAUGACCUGCUACUAUUCAUUUUUGGUAAAAUGUUUAUUAUACCCUUAAUGAAAUAAUUUGUCAUAUAUUGCACAAGAUAUCCUUAAUUUAUUGGAAUAGUUUUAAAUUCCUCUAUUUCUCUCAUUUCGAGUUUUAAUAUAUAAUUUCAUCCUUUGAUCUAAUAAAUUAACAUAAUCUGCAAUAUAAUUGUCAUGUAAUUUACUAAGAUUAUCAAAUUCCUUUGAUAAUAUAUCCAUAAUCUCUAAUUGAGAAUAAAUAUUUUCUAUUUUUUCCAUUAAUCUAUCUAACAGAUUAUCUAAUCCUUUAAUUGUAUAACCUGGCAUUAUUCAAAUAAUUCCUUGCAAACUUUAUGAAUAAUAACAUAUUUAGAUAAGUUUUUUGCAAACAUGAUAAGUAAUAAUCCCUACGAUUCUUUCAAGAUAUUAGAAGAAUUCUUUCUAAAUUUAACAAAGACAAUAAUUUUACCUUACUUUUGAUCUUAAAUCUGUAUUCUUAGAACCGAGUGACCUUCAGGCUCUGAAUCUGCAAACUACUCCCUCAAACGGCCUCUUGCCUCAAUGAGAAUUCUGCUAUUUCAGCUUCUGCCCUCACUGUAUCUUUUCUUAGAAUUAAGAGUAAAGAUCUUAAGUAAAGAAAAUUCUCUCUUUGUUAAAGUAAGAAAGAGAUUAUCUUCUUCAAUCUAUCAAGAAUCUAUGGGAUAGAAAGUUUAGAAACUCAUAUCUUUCUGAUAUCAAAAGAUUGAGAUUUUAUUUCUAUAAUGAUUUAUACAAGAUUUAUAUUGUAUACAAGGGGUUUCCAGAAAAACUGAUUUUGAAAAAAGCUUAAGGAAAGAGAAUGGUUUCUAAUUCGAGAUGCUCCAUUCUUUCCAAAUACCUCUAUUUAUACAUGAUUCAAACUCACUAUUAUUGAUCUAUUACAUCAUUGCAUACAUCAGAUUUUUGAAAAAAGGCUCACAUGCCUCUCUAUUCUUUUCCUCCUAGGGUCUACAUUUUCACAUGCAUUUUUUGAAUUUUCAUCAAAGGGACCUCUUUUCUUCUAUUAUUGCCUUAUCAUCUUUGGCUCUAUAUGCAGCUGGCUUGAUGCUUUUCUAUUAUUGCUUCUCCAUCUUUGGCUUUAUAUGCAGCUGGCUUGAUGCUUUGGUAGUGGUAGGUCCUUUUCCAUUCAUCAAUCCUUCAAUUUUGUCUACAUGUGGGGCACUCCCUCAAUCUGCAUGAUUCUUGGAUUGUUGUUGGACUUCCACUAAUUUGAUGAGUAUCAAAUUUUAAAAUAUAUUCCUUCAAAAUUGUAGAUUUUUCUUUUCCAUUAUUUGUAAGGAGGGUUCAUCCUUCAUAUUGGCAUAGACAUCUGAAUUUCUUAUCAUACAAGUUCUUUGCAAUGUUGUAAAGAACUUUCAUCCCCAAAACUCUCCGGGAUUUUAUCCAUGAUCUAUUGAUUUUUGGCAAUGGUUUAUUAUUUCGGCCAACUUCAAUCUGGAAAUCUCGGCCAACAUAUCCAAUUGUAAUAAUAUGUUCAGCAGGAUAGUAUAUCCUUCCAUCAACUUCAGGACUUAUUGAAUAAAAUUUGAUAUGAAUCGAUCUCCCUUGGGCAAAUUUUGAAACUUCUGUCCUGAAUAUAUCAUCAAAAUUUUCAAUUUCUUUUAAAUCUUUUUCUGGAUAGAUCAAAUCCAGAAAUUCAUAAUCUGCUGCCAUUUUGACCAUGAAAGAGUCUGCAUUUUUGGUAAUUAUUAAUCUGGGAUAAACAUGAUCCCCUGAUGAAAUAAAAUAAGAUUCAUUUUCUUCCAAUUCAUAAACAAUUUUGGCAAAUGAUCUAUAUUCUUCUUCUUUUGAUGACAAAGGGGUAUCAUCAUCUUCAUCAGUUUUGAUUCUUAUAACUCUUGUAUGCUCAUCACCAUUUUUUAUAGUCACCUUCCGGGGACUUACUAUAUCUCGUUUGAUAUUGCUGGGUCCACUGCUGCUUCCUGGCUGUGUACCUGUUUGUAUUUUUGAGAUUGUAUCAAUUGGCAUUUCCUGUUUGGUAUCUAAUGACUCGAAUUGUGAAGUAAUAUCAACAAUUCUGUCAUUCAAUUCUUUGGUAUAUUUGGAAUGAGAAUUAGAGAUUUCCACCAACAAUUUGACAUUUUGUUGGAUAGUUUCUGCCAUUUCCUCUAACUGCUCAAUUCCAAUUUUCAUAUCUUCAGAUUCUUCCAUGAGGAAUUUCAUUCGUCUAUUGACGUCUAUUAAUGAAUUUUUGAUAUUAUCCAUCUCCAAAUUCGAUGUUCCUGCUCAAAAAAUCUGCAAGAUANNNNNNNNNNNNNNNNNNNNNNNNNNNNNNNNNNNNNNNNNNNNNNNNNNNNNNNNNNNNNNNNNNNNNNNNNNNNNNNNNNNNNNNNNNNNNNNNNNNNNNNNNNNNNNNNNNNNNNNNNNNNNNNNNNNNNNNNNNNNNNNNNNNNNNNNNNNNNNNNNNNNNNNNNNNNNNNNNNNNNNNNNNNNNNNNNNNNNNNNNNNNNNNNNNNNNNNNNNNNNNNNNNNNNNNNNNNNNNNNNNNNNNNNNNNNNNNNNNNNNNNNNNNNNNNNNNNNNNNNNNNNNNNNNNNNNNNNNNNNNNNNNNNNNNNNNNNNNNNNNNNNNNNNNNNNNNNNNNNNNNNNNNNNNNNNNNNNNNNNNNNNNNNNNNNNNNNNNNNNNNNNNNNNNNNNNNNNNNNNNNNNNNNNNNNNNNNNNNNNNNNNNNNNNNNNNNNNNNNNNNNNNNNNNNNNNNNNNNNNNNNNNNNNNNNNNNNNNNNNNNNNNNNNNNNNNNNNNNNNNNNNNNNNNNNNNNNNNNNNNNNNNNNNNNNNNNNNNNNNNNNNNNNNNNNNNNNNNNNNNNNNNNNNNNNNNNNNNNNNNNNNNNNNNNNNNNNNNNNNNNNNNNNNNNNNNNNNNNNNNNNNNNNNNNNNNNNNNNNNNNNNNNNNNNNNNNNNNNNNNNNNNNNNNNNNNNNNNNNNNNNNNNNNNNNNNNNNNNNNNNNNNNNNNNNNNNNNNNNNNNNNNNNNNNNNNNNNNNNNNNNNNNNNNNNNNNNNNNNNNNNNNNNNNNNNNNNNNNNNNNNNNNNNNNNNNNNNNNNNNNNNNNNNNNNNNNNNNNNNNNNNNNNNNNNNNNNNNNNNNNNNNNNNNNNNNNNNNNNNNNNNNNNNNNNNNNNNNNNNNNNNNNNNNNNNNNNNNNNNNNNNNNNNNNNNNNNNNNNNNNNNNNNNNNNNNNNNNNNNNNNNNNNNNNNNNNNNNNNNNNNNNNNNNNNNNNNNNNNNNNNNNNNNNNNNNNNNNNNNNNNNNNNNNNNNNNNNNNNNNNNNNNNNNNNNNNNNNNNNNNNNNNNNNNNNNNNNNNNNNNNNNNNNNNNNNNNNNNNNNNNNNNNNNNNNNNNNNNNNNNNNNNNNNNNNNNNNNNNNNNNNNGUUAUAUUAAAUUCAUAUUCUUCUGGAAUAAUAUUUAUUUGUUUAUUUGGUUCCACUAUUCUACUAAUAUCCUUGCAUUCCUUAUGAAUUUCUAUGUAUGGUUUAUUGGAAUAAAUAUUCCCAUAAUUAGAAUUGGUAAAUGUAUAUAAUGCUCUAUAUUCCAUAGUCAUAAUUUGAUCUCCUGGUUCCAUUAUAUCAUUCCUAUGUAAUUUGAAAUGUAAUCCUAAGACUUCAUUAAAAUUUUUAUCUUUUAAUGAGACACAAUAUUUUGGGUAAUAAGUAAAUAUUAGCUUUUGGUAUGUUAAAUUUCCUUCUAUAGUUCCUAGAUGACCAUCUUCAAGAUUUAUAAUUCUUCCAUCAUGUAAACUUACAGUUAAUGAUGAAUCUAUUCCUUCUCUAAAUAAGGAUUUAAACAUUAUUUGUAUUCCUGCUAAAUAAACAUAUUGGAUCUUUUCACUAUGCUUUUUACUUAUUUUUGAUAAUAAUUCUGAUACUGUAUUUUUUGUUAAAAGAUUUAUUUUAUGUGUUCCUUGAGUUGUUCUAACAUCUAUAGUUUUUUCAAUCUUAUGGUAUUCAUUUAUUGCUAUUCUUUCUCUUCUCCAUAUUCUAUCUAAAAUUUCCCAUUUUCCUAUCUUCAAAUCUAAGGAUAACUUUUGUAUCUUUCUGAAUUUAUUAUUAUCAAAGGUUACUUUUAAUCCAUAGCCUUCUAUUCCCUCAUAUUCUCGAAUUUCUAUAUUAUUAUUUUCUAUUUCUUCAAUUUCUCUAUUCAGAUUCUGAUCCAUACUCUUCUGAAUCUGCUUCACUUAUAAAUAUUUCUUGAUUAUUAUAAUUUUCAAUAUCAGAUAUUUCACUUAAUUCGCUUUCUAUUUCAAAAUAGUCUUUCUGUAAUAUUCUCACUUUUUUCUUUGUGCAAUUAGGACUUAUAUGACCUAUUUCUCCACAAUUCCAACACUUACAUUGUUUUUUAUCUUUCUUAUAAGGUUUAUUUUUCUGUAUAUCAUUUUUCCUUUUAUAAUAUUUCCUUCCAGGUUUUAUGUAUUUUUUCUUAAAAUUUCUAUAUUUUUUAAACUUUCUAUUUUUAUACUUUCUUUUAUUUCUUUUUUCAGGAUUACAUCCCCAUCUUGUGGGUUUUUCCAUAUCUUCACAACAUAUUCUAGUUAAUUUUCCUGAUUUUUUCAAUAAUUGUCUUUGUUGACAUAUAUAUGCAAGUCUUUCAAAUAAGAAUUUUAUUCUUGAUCCUAGUGUUCUAGGUAUUCCUAUAUUUUCUUUAAUAUAUUUUUCAAAUUCUAUUUUAAAAUAUAUUCCCCAUGAUCCUGGUAAUUUAUUAUAAUACAUAUCUUGAUAUACUUCUUGAUUUUCAUUACUAUAAAAUUGAGCAUAAUAGUAAUCCUUGAAUUCACAAGUAUAUUCUUUAAUUUUACACAUAUCACAAAUUGUUAAAUUAAUUAGCUUAACUCUUGCAUUAUCUUUUUCUCGUAUUGCUUCCUCUUCAUAAUUUCUUAACCAAUCUUCUUCUAAGAAUUCAUCUGCAAUAUAUUCUACCAAUCUUUCUAUUCCUAGUUUAUCUGAUUUUAUUAUUUCUGUUUGUAUAUUUCUUUUUAUUAAUAAUUUUGUAUCACUACUAAUUCCUUCCCACCAAUUUCUAACAUUUCCUUCAAAAGAUGCAAUUAGAAAAUCUAUUAUUCUUUCAGUAUUUUCCCAUGUAUCAUCUUUAUUAUAUAAAAAGAAUAAUAUCAUUGAAUCUGCCCAAGUUAUUAAAGCUUUCUUAGUGUCUAUUUUACAAUCUAAGUCUAAUUUUGUUCCUUCAUGGUUAACGGGUUUAUCAUAAUUAUUAUUUAAUUCAAAUCUAUUACUAUAUUUAUUUCCUUUAGAUGGUUGUUUAUCUUUUACUUUAUCAUAAAAUUGUUUAUAUGAUUUAUUAUACAUUGGAGCAUAACUUUUAUCUGGAUCUAUUGAUUCUUGUUUAGAGGUUCCUACGGGAUUAGGUCCUCCUCCAGUAUUCAUUAUGAUUUGGUAUUCAUCAUCUAUACUUUCUAAACUUAAAUGAUCAAAAUUAUCUAUGAGCAAAUCUAAUUCUUCAUUCAUUUUUUAUAUCUUGAUUUUCUUUAAUUUUUUGUUUACUUAACAUUUUUUCUUUAGAUUCCUCUUCUUCUAAUAUUUUAGGUAAUAUAUUUUUUCUAAACUCAUCAUCCAUGCUUUCUGUUUCUAUUAUUAUAUUUUCUCUUUCAAUAUGUUUUUUCCCUAUUCUGGUUAUUUCUUUUUUUAUAAAUUUUUUAUCAAUUCUAUUAUUCUUUUCUUCAUUUUCUUUUAAUUUCCUGACUUCAAGUUUCAAUAUACUUAUAUCAUUUCUAGCUUCUUUUAUUUCAUUCUUAAUUUCUUGUACAUCAUUAAUUAAUGUUCUUAUUAAAUGUUUUAAUUCUUCCAUAUGUUCACUGAUUGACAUUUUACCUAUUUUUUGAUUGACAAUAAUACAAUACUAUACACUCAGCAUUUUUACACUCUUUUAUCAUUUUGUCAUACUUUUGUUUUAUAACUUCAAUACUUGUUAUUUCUUUUAACUUUUCAUAAUACCUUGCUUUUUCUUUAUAUCUUUCUUGUUUUAAUUUUAAUAUUUGUUUUUCUUGAGUUUUAGUUAAUUCUCCAGGUAUUAAUAAUUCAUCUAAAAUUUUAUUAUUUAUUAAUCUUAUUCUUUCUAACUUCCUAUCUAAAAUAUUUUUAGUUUUUUCCAUUAUAUUUUUAUGAUGAUUCAUAUAUUUCUCUAUGAUAUAACUCAUUUUCAAAUAUUUCGCAAAUUAUUUCAUAUGUACGUCUAUCUUUGAUAAAUCCUACAAUUAAUUUAUGUAAUAUUUGUUCCCUUAUUUCUCUAGGUAAAUUCCUAGUUAUAUAUAAUGUUAUUAUUUUUAAUUUAUUAGGGAUGGGGUUGUAAAAUAUAUAACAUCCUUUUUCUUCAAUACAUUGAUAAUAAUUAUUUAUUUUUAAGAUUUCCAUGAUCUCUAUGGCUCUGAUACCAAUUAUAGGGAUGCUACUAUGAGCGAACAAAAAUCUAAUAAUCUAAUAAUCAAAAUAUCAAAAAAAAUUUAUCUUAUAAAUUUUUAAGUAAUUCUUCAAAGUCUAAUAAUGUUUGAGAAUUUAUAAUAUCAAUAUCUGUUAUCAUAUCUAUAUCUGUUCUAAAAGAUAUUUCAUAUUUUGAGAUACUUUUCUUUCUUUUUUCCAAUUUAUCUAUUAUAUCUUGUAUAUCUUUUAUGAUUAUUGACCUUACAAUUCCUUUAGCGAAAUUUUCUAAUAAGUUUUCUUUAAAACAUUUUAAUAUUUCUUGUGAUGCAUAUAAUUGUUCUUGAUAUCCUAUCUUAUCAAUUUCUUUUUCAAAUUUAAUUUCUUUUUUAUUUUUAACAACCUUUUUUAUAUUAUAUGGUCCUCUCUUAUAUUUGGGCUUUUCCAUUUUAUAAUUAUUCAUUAAUAAUUUUUACAAAUUUUUAGGAAAAUUACUUGUUAGAUUUUUUAAGGACUAAAGAAGAAACUUUUUAUUAUAUAAAGGGUUGGUUGUUAAAUUUUUCCAAGGGUAUUUUGGGUAGUUUCAAAUUUCUAAAAAAGUCAAAGGUCAUUUUGGAAAAUGUUAUAUACUAUUUGGGUCAUUUUCAUGUAUAUCCCGUCUGUUAUAGGGUGGGCAAAUUUUGAGAGUUGUGCUUAGAAAAAAGUCAAAAUGGAUCAAGAAAUAAGGGAAAAAAAAAAACAGCAUAUCCCAACAGGACAGGCCGUACGAUGACAAACACGAUGGGAGCCUAAAUCGUGAUCUAGUUGUUUUUUGCAGACACUGAUUAACCACAAUUAACUUCGACUUUUAAGAAAGUUGCAAAUUAGUCCCUAAAUCAAGUUGUCCGAUUUUGGUCCUUUUUCGUUCUAAUCUUUACUUUUGAUGUCGCAACUUCCAAAAGCUUACACAUUGGUCCCCAAUAUUUCAUAAUAACCCAAAAUGGCCUCUCAAGUUUUAAAAUUGUGCAAAGUAGUUCCUUAACUUUUCCAAAGUUAAAUUUCACCCCAAAAGUUGUGAAUUUCCUCCAAUUGCUCUUAAUACUUCUUAUCAACACAUGCAAUUUGGUUUUUUAAUUGUUUCACGCAAUUAAGCUCAAAAUCAUCUUCUUUGGCUUCAAAUGCAUUCAAGUCAGAUUUUACCUAUAAUUAAUAAAAUUACACUAAUUUAGGUAGCGUCGACUACGUGAGUCAAAUAUGUGCAUGUUUUAUGACUUUGCAUUAUAUUGAAAAUUCCCAAAAAAUUGAAAAAUUAAAGAUUUGUUUUGUUUGAUCUGAUUUUUGAAAUAAAACUUUAAAAAUAGAAUUUGAGAUAAUUUUCUCAUUUUUUUAGGAAAAAUUUCAUAUGUAAGAAAUUAAGUAUCACUCAUUUCAAAAACUAAGAAACAAUGAAUAAAAAUUCAAGAAUCAGCUAUUAAUUAAAUUUUAUUUAUUAAUAAUUAAUUGAAAAUAUAUUUUAAAUUAAAUAUAUUGAGGUCACAAUUCCAUACAAUUGGAUCACAAUUAUUGAAUUAAUUGAUUACAAAUUAUUUUUCGAUCAUAAAUUAAAAUAAAUAAUUUAUAGGUCACAAAUUAUUUCACGAUCACAAAUAAAAUUUUUUAAUAGAUCACAAUUUGUCAUUGAUCACGAAUCAAAAAAUAUAUACUUCACAAUUUAUUUAUCGAUAACAAGUGACAAAUUUCAUAAAUCACAACUUAUUACGUGAUCACAAAUUAUCAAAUAUUUUUGUCACAAAUAACAAAUUUUUAGUUCACACAUUACUUAUUGAUUACACUUAUUCAGUUAUUCUACUUCAUGGGUCACAUAUUGUUUAUUAGUUACAACCAACCAAAUAAUUUGUAACACUACUUCAACCAGACGUACUGUCACUUGAACCACCACCACCACCACCUUCCGACAGCAACACCACCAUCUCAAACAAACCAACACCCACCACAAAAAAACAACUACUACUUUACAACCACUGUGAUGGCAGGACCACCGCCAGCACUACCACCAUCGCCUCUACCACCCAAAAUCACUACACAACCACCGCAAAACACACCAACCACAAAAAAACCACCUGCAAACACCACCAUACCACAAAACACAAUCAAUUGGAACGGGAUCUAAAUCCUCCACCGUCUGCAGCGGUAGCGUCUCCGAACCUACCAUUGCUAUGCCGCCAUCACCAUUAUCAUACACCGUAACCCACAUCUCCACCACACUGUCAUGGGAGGAGUAAUUGGGAAAAAAGGAGAAGAACUAGCCAUGGAUGGAAAAACAAGAAAUCAGAAGUGGAGAAAGAAGAAAGAAUUAACAGUAGUAACCGAGAUUCAAGUCCAAAACGACGGCAUUUGGUUUUAAAAAAAAUGACUCCGUUUUGCUUUAUUUUAAUUAAAUAAAUUGUAAUAGGAAUUGAAGAAAUAUUUUUUUUUAUUUUUUAUUUUUGGCUUUCAAUAUGCGACUUGAAUUGUACUGGACAGAUAUAGAUACAGCCAUGUGCGAGGUGGAGGUCAUUCGUCAUUUUCUGAAUUUUUAGUUGCUAAUUGAAAGGAUAUUCUUUUCUCACCUCCCAUCCUCCUCCUUUUUUUCAUCAUUUUCACCAUCCCCAAUUCUGUUUUACUUUAAUUUUGGUUACAAGUUCUAUUGAUUCAGCUGGGGAGAGUUCCAUAGUUGAGCUGUGAAGCUGGAGGUUGUGGAUUGAGGUUCAUUCCAUGACAAAUUGGUAUUAGAGCUGGCGUAUAUUACCGGGUAAUUGUUAGAUAUGGAUACAAGGUUGAAAGCAAUUGAUGAACAUUUGAAGAAAUUAGAUCUCGAAGUGGGCGAAUUUGGGUACAACUUUUAAAGCUAUUAUUAGCAAGGAUUAUUCUAUAUGUACAAAAUCAAUGACAAACUUGACAAGUGGUGGCCCCCUGUUAGUGGAGUGGUGGUGGGGCCAGCCGCCCCGCUAACAGAGAGCCGCCACUUGUUAAGUUUGUCAAACUUUUAGUAAUUGAUUUUGUACUUGUAGACUAAUCCUUAGUAGCCAUGAGAAAUAGAAGAUGUCUUGCUAGAAUUGAACCAAAAGUACGAAAAUGUGGUUGCAUUUAUGGCUCAAAUCUCUACUGAUUUGAAAACUAAUCAGAAGGACAAGGGAAUAGGUGAAUCUAUAGUUGAAUUGAAACUUGGAAGUGUGACUUCUCCACCAGGAGCUAGUAGCAAUGAGGCUAGUAUCAUCACUAGAGGUGAAUUGAAUGUGAACACUAGGCUACCUAAGAUCGAUUUCCCUCAUUUUGGGAAAAAGUCCUAAAGAGAUUUUGAGAAAGGCCAGGAAAUAUUUUAAAUUAUACCAAGUGCCAUAUGAACUCAAAGUAGGUAUGGCAGAAAUGUAUUUGAAAGGAAAGGCAGACAUUUUGUUUGAUAGAUUCAUAGCCGUCACCCGAAAGCUAGUCGGAAUCUAUUUUCAGAGGAACUCUGCAGGAGAUUAGCAGAAACUACUUAAGAAGUAGUAGUAGAAAGCUUCAGUGAGAUCAAGCAACUUGGAACUAUAGAGGAAUAUCAGGAGAAAUUCGAGGAAUUGGAAUCAGAAGUGAUGCUCGCAUUACCUCAUGUCUCAGAAUUCUACUAUAUUGUUGGAACAAUGGAGGUCUAAAAGGAGAGAUUAGAUCAAUGGUUAAAAUGAUAAAACCCAAUACACUAGCUAAGGCGUUUGAGAUAGUAGCCUAUAGGAAUCUACUAUUCAAGCCAUCCACAAAUUCUAGAAACCAAAAGGACGCACUGCAUACAAGUAGAGUCCCUACCCCCAAAACCACCUGAAGAAAAUAGAGCUAAAGACCCGUAACCAAAAACCAGUAAACCUCCGAACAGCUACAAAACAAUUACCCCCACUGAUUUCCAAACCUGGGGAAAUUUGGGGCUUUGUUACAAGUGUGAUGAGAAAUACACUUUCUGUUAAUGCAUUGGUUGGUAGUUCCAAGCAUAGAACUAUAAGGGUGCUAGGGGUAAUCAAAGAGAGAGAAAUAUCUAUCCUGAUAGAUAACGAUAGCACACAUAGAUUUAUAAAUGAAGGAUUGGCCAGAGAGUAAGCAAACUCUGAAUACUAGAUAUGACCUCAAAAUAACAGGGGUCAAGGUUGGCUAGUGAGAACUUGGUCAUUGAUGGAAAUAAAACAUUGACAAUCAGGGUGGCAAACGGUGAGAAAUUAGAGAGGUAGGCCCUUUACUCGCCCCUGACUUGGAAGAUGCAAAACUGGGAAUUCCAAUACCAUCUAAGAAUAUUGAAACUGUGUUGUAGUGACAUUGUAUUUAGGGCUGGGCAAAUAUCUUGAAUCGAACCGACCGAACCGAACCCGACGAUUCUUGUCAAAUUAAAUACCCGAACGGGUAUCUGAAUUGAAAAUCGACGGGUAAGAUUCGAUUCUCGGUUCUAGACCAAGAACCGAAGAAUCGAAUAAAAACCGAAUCUUUCUAAUUUUUUUUAUAUUGAAUAAAUCAAAUUAUUUUAAUUUCAAAUUUUUCUAAACAAAUUAACACAUUAACAAUUUCUAAACCCAAAUUUUUGGCCCAAUAAUUUGUUUCUUUUCUAAUUUUUUAAUUUUUGACCCAAUUGCCCAUUUUAUUGUUUCAUUUCUUAGUCAAGUAAGAUCAAAUCCACUAAAUAACCCUAAACACCAACACUAAAGUACAUAGCAUUGUCUCGACUCUCGCACUCACUCUGCAGCCUCGCUAAUAUUCCAAAACCUAUACAAUCAUCGGUUGACACUGUGACCUCCGAUCGAAGCUGUGACCUUCGCCAACUGAAGUUUUGAUCGUAACGAUCAUUUAAACAAGGUAGUUUACUAAUCUCUGACGUUCCAAAACCAUUAAAUGUAUCAUUAGUUGUAUUUAUAUAAUGUUGUUAUAAAUAAUUUAAUUAUAGUACAGAAUCGAACGGAACUGAACCGAACGAAACGAAACGAAACCCGAACGGUUCCAUAAUUAUAUUUGGAUCCGACGAUUCCAUUUACUAGAUACCCGAAAAGUUUGGUUCGGUUCUAAGGAGAACCAAACCGACUCGCGCCCACCCCUAAUUGUAUUGGGAGUAAAAUGGAUGAGUCAAUUUUGCCCAAUCAUGUUCGACUUUGCUCAAGGGUAUAUUAAGUUCAGACAUGAAGGUGCAGAAGCAACCUUGAGGAGUAAGGACACUAUACAAGAUGUGAAGAUAAUUGGAGCAAAGGAGAUGAAGAAUCUAUUUAGAAAGAGUAGUUGUGGUAUUUCUGGGCGAUUUUACACAUUACAGAGGGAAAGAAGAAGGAAAUUCGAAAACUGAUCGUAGAAAUUAUCAACUCAUUCCCAGGUGUAUUAAAAGAUCCCAUGGUUGCCUCUCCGUAGGACCCAUCACCACAAGAUUCCACUAAAAGAGGAAUCUCAACUUUUAAAAUCAGGCCAUAACAAUGUCCCUUUGUUUAGACAAUCGAAAUUGAGAAAACUAGUUAAAGAAAUGUUGGAUAGUGGGAUAAUUCAUCCCAGUAACAGCCCAUUUGCAUCUCCUGUUCUAUUAGUAAAAAAGAAGGAUAGGUCCUGGCGUUUUUGUGUAGAUUACAGACACUUAAACAGCUUAACUAUCAAGGACAAGUUCUCUAUGCCACUGAUUGAUGAACUUCAUGGGUCUAAGUAUUGUUCUAAAAUAGAUCUCAAGGCUGGCUAUCACCAAAUUAGAGUUACUCAAACAGGCAUUCACAAGACAGCUUUCCAAACACACCAAGGCCUUUACGAGUUCAAAAUGAUGACAUUUGGGCUCAUGAAUGCCCCUGCUACAUCCCAAAGCUUCAUGAAUUAUUUAAAGAGUAAUUGAGAGAUUAUGUCUUAGUCUUCUUUGAUGAUAUAUUGGUUUACAACCAUGACUUGACUACCUACUGUUAGCACCUAAAAACUGUCCUGGAGAUUUUGCAGAAACACCAGCUAUAUGCUAAAUGGUCUAACUAUAGUUUUUUACAGGAGCAAAAGGAAUACUUAGGUCAUAUAAUCAAUCAAAGUGGUGUCUCAACUUAUCCCAACCAAAUCGAAUCAUCGCAGUAAUGGCCUACGCCUAAGAAAAUCAAACAAUUAAGGGAUUUUUUUAGGCCUUACAGAGAACUAUAGAAAAUUUGUGAAGAAUUAUGGGAUAAUAGCUAAACCUUUAACUGGCCUCCAUAAGAAGGAUAGCUUCAUUUGGUCAAAGGCAGCAGAUUCAACAUUUGUGUUAUUGAAAGAGGCUACGAGUUCCACCCUAGUCCUAGCACUCCCUGAUUUCAGCAAGUCAUUCAUCAUUGAAACAGAUGCAUGCCAAAGGAGCACAGGUACAAUACUCAUGCAGGAUAGGAGACCUCUAUCAUACUUACGAAAAGUCAUGGGGAUAAAAAAUAUGGGGUUAUCCAUAUAUAAGAAGGAGUUGUUGGUAUUGGUAACAACAGCAAACAAAUGGAGGCAAUAUUUGGAGAGCCACCACUUCAUUGUAAAGAUUGACCAUUAGUCUCUCAAGUACCUACUUGAGCAAAGAAUCACUACCCCGCUCCAACAAAAGUGGCUCAACAAACUGCUAGGCCCCAGUUAUGAGAUAGUGUAUAAGAAAGGGACAGAUAACCUAGUGGCAGACGCACUAUCCAGGAGACAUAAAGAGAGUUUAGAAUGGCAAAUAUAAUUCCUGCUUUGAUCCAAGAGGUAAUCAAUAACUAUAAGGGAGAGAUAAGGAUGAUGAAGAGAGGAUUCAAUCCGUGAUACUGCAGUCAGAUAAUGACCAUAAUUUUUCCUAUUGCAAUGGUCUACUGUAGGUACAAAGGUAAGAUUUAUAUCAGGACAGGUGGUGAUAUCAGAACAAAACUGAUUCAGAUUCUCCAUAAUUCACAAGAAGGAAGUCAUUUAAGAAUGCAAAAUAGCAUCUAUAAAGCAAAACAACAAUUUUAUUGGCCAGGAAUGAACCAGGAUAUCAAGAUAGAGGCAUUACAAUGUGAAGUUUGUCAGAGGUACAAAGGGGAACAUACACCCUAUCUUGGACUAUUGUAGCCCUUACCCGAGCAUCUUCACUCAUGGAGUCAUAUUAGCAUGGAUUGCAUCAAGAGGUAAAAAUGUCAUUUUUGUAGUGGUGGAUAGGUUCACAAAAUAUGGGCAUUUUUUGGCUCUCUCACAUCUUUUCGGCUUUCACUGUCGUGUCAGUGGCAAAGAUAUUUAUGGAUAAUGUGUACAAUUUACAUGGGAUGCCUCAAAGCAUCUUCUUUGAUAGAGAUAAGGUCUUUACUAGCUGGUUCUGGCAAAAAGUAUUCACCAUGUUAGGCACUAAACUUCAGCUCAGCUCUACAUACCAUCCUCAAAGGCUCAAACGGAUGGGCAACCAGAGUUUGGAGAUGUAUUUGAGGUGUCUAACUUUUCAACAGCCUAAAUUAUGGGGUAAGUGGCUAACUCUGGCUGAAUGGUGGAACGACGCCACUUACCACUCUCCAGUUAGAAUGACCCCAUUUGAGAAAGAAGAAGAAAUGAAUAGCAGUAAUUGAAAUUCAAAUACAAAACGACAGUGUUUGGUGGAAGAGAAAAUUGCACCGUUUUACUUUGAUUAAAUAAAUUGUAAUUUUUGGCUUCAAAAACGCGACUUUACUUGUAUUGGAGAUAGAUAGAUACGAGCAUGUGCGAGAUGGAGGUCAGUUGUCAAUUUCUGAAUUUUUAGUUGCUAGUUGAAAGGAUACUCGGUUCUCACCUCCCAUCCUUCUUAUUUACAUCAUUUUCACCCUGCCCAAAUCUUUUUUACUUUAAUUUUGGUUACAAAUUCUGUUGAUUCAGCUGUGUAGAGUUCCAUAGUUGAGUUGUGAAGCUGGAGGUUGUGGACUGAGGUUCAUUCCAUGACACACACCUCCUCUGCCAAAUCUUCCACCUUUCGCCAGUAGGCAUCCAACACCACGCCCUUAUACCUCAAAUCAACAGCCCAGUCGACCAAUUACACAUUACCAUUUUCGUAGCGCCUCUUCACGCACAAAGUCCCCCACUUGCCGACUUAAAACCAAGAUCAACAACCAAUUGUAACAUCCAACAUUGAUUCGCACCAUAAAAAAAAAAAUCCAAAAAUUUUGCUAAGUAGCAAAUCAGGGAAGAAACUUAGAAAACAGCAAAUCCCUCGUCGUUGUGCACAGUGCAUGCUCUGUUGAUGACGCUCUUCCCCUUGCAUAUGCACGACGUGAACGACGCUUCGCAGCAGCAUUGGCCACUGCUGCAAAGCGUCGCUCACAACGCUGCUCGCCGCUAUGAAGAGCGUUUCAUAGUGGCGAGCACCGCUCUCUUGUGCGCAGCACUUCGUCGGAGAAAGUAAUGCCGCUUGGUGGUGGGGGGUUUUGUCAGCUGACGGGAAAGAGGGGAUAGGAUAUAAAGAAAUGGUUUAGGGUUUGGGGACGAAGUGUGGAUACG